rnacentral:ncRNA from 1 species
AUCUUCAGGGCAGGGUGUAAAUCCCUACCGGCGGUAAAGCCCGCGAGCCUUAGUGGCAUGAUUCGGUGAGAUUCCGAAGCCGACAGUAUAGUCUGGAUGGAAGAAGAUA